GGUCGCCAUCGAACGCACCGGCGAGUUCCGCGGCACCUACCACGUGCUGGGCGGGUCGAUCUCCCCGAUCGACGGCCGC
rnacentral:tRNA from 1 species